UAUGCAACAUUCCACUGGGCGAAAUUACUGAAUGUACUGAAUGGUUAUCCUGAUUGUACAAGUUUAUCUUUUAUGAAUGUAUAAUCAUGCCUUGUGUGAUACUCAUUGAACACUUUAUGUGUAAUUAUGUGCAUUAAUGAUGGGAAGGAGUCAGAUAAACUUCUUUCAAAGUUAUAUUUGUACAAUUUUACAAGGUAUUCUCUUGUGAAUUUUUGAUGGUACACUGGACUCAGUCUUCAUGGUUAUACAGAUCUGUGUGGCAUAUUCCACAUUCUUUCAUAGUACUGUUUGCAGAAGUCUCUCUGAUGAGUACAUAAUUCGUGGUAAACCUUGCAGAUUUUAUGCCAAAGGCAAUGGUUGCUGUGUGUCAUGAUUCCUGCCUCCAUUAACUUUUGUUUGAUAGUCAAUUGUGUGAUUCACAGAAACUACAAAGAAGAAGGACACGUUGCUUACCUGUAGCUGUAUUUCUUUGAGUGGUUAUCUGAAUUCACACAAUCCCACCCAUCCUCCCCACACAGGGGUCAUGCCUCCUAGGAACUGAGGGGUUUCGGCAGCAACCAACCUAACAUAGCCUCAAAAUGGUGGGUUUUGAAGCAGAGACUGGAUUGCCAUCUGUCGGGGGGGGGGGGGGCUUGAUUGGAUAGCCUUUCUGAUUAUAUGAUCCAGUAAUUUUUUGGUUAGAAAUGUCUUUCAGAAAGUGGAUGCCAAUAAUUUUUUCUUGAUUUCUUUUUUAAAACCAUGCUUUUAAAUAUGAAUAUUUCAAUCAGUUAGAAGGGAGGUUUUUCUAUAAGAUAUGACACAAAAAUUAAGCUAUUUGGUUAAUUACAUUUGCUGUUAUUGUCAGUUCUAGAUCAAGAAUCUAUCGCUGAGUCCAGUAAUGGAUCAAUCAUAUAUGAGAGUUCUCCAUUAUUCUCUACAGAUGUAUAUCUAACUCCCAACAGAAGAGAGUUUUCAGUACAGUUGCAAGGAAUUUUGGAUGGACUGGAAAACACUAUUGCUAUGGAAGCAAAGAAUACACAUCUUGUAGAAGUAAGUACAUCCAUUUUGAAAUUAAUUUAUAAAGUUUAUAUUCUGCCUAUCAACUUCAAAAUUGUGUAAGUUUUUUCUGUGACAAUGAUUUAAGAAAAAGACAUUAUAUGGGAAACAAUAAAUAAUUGCUACCAUUACUAGGAAACAAAAUGCUGCUUAAAAGAUAAGUACUAAAAUAUAUAGAUAGAUACUGCUAUCUUUAGAACUGAUGGGACAUGCACUGCAUU
rnacentral:lncRNA from 11 species